rnacentral:rRNA from 1 species
GACGAACGCUGGCGGCGUGCUUAACACAUGCAAGUCGAACGGAAAGGCCCUGCUUUUGUGGGGUGCUCGAGUGGCGAACGGGUGAGUAACACGUGAGUAACCUGCCCUUGACUUUGGGAUAACUUCUGGAAACUGGGGCUAAUACCGGAUAGGAGCUCCUGCUGCAUGGUGGGGGUUGGAAAGUUUCGGCGGGUGGGGAUGGACUCGCGGCUUAUCAGCUUGUUGGUGGGGUAGUGGCUUACCAAGGCUUUGACGGGUAGCCGGCCUGAGAGGGUGACCGGCCACAUUGGGACUGAGAUACGGCCCAGACUCCUACGGGAGGCAGCAGUGGGGAAUAUUGCACAAUGGGCGGAAGCCUGAUGCAGCAACGCCGCGUGCGGGAUGACGGCCUUCGGGUUGUAAACCGCUUUCGCCUGUGACGAAGCGUGAGUGACGGUAAUGGGUAAAGAAGCACCGGCUAACUACGUG